rnacentral:rRNA from 1 species
GAUGAACGCUGGCGGCGUGCCUAAUACAUGCAAGUCGAGCGAACAGAUAAGGAGCUUGCUCCUUUGACGUUAGCGGCGGACGGGUGAGUAACACGUAGGUAACCUACCUAUAAGACUGGGAUAACUUCGGGAAACCGGAGCUAAUACCGGAUAAUAUUUCGAACCGCAUGGUUCGAUAGUGAAAGAUGGCUUUGCUAUCACUUAUAGAUGGACCCGCGCCGUAUUAGCUAGUUGGUAAGGUAACGGCUUACCAAGGCGACGAUACGUAGCCGACCUGAGAGGGUGAUCGGCCACACUGGAACUGAGACACGGUCCAGACUCCUACGGGAGGCAGCAGUAGGGAAUCUUCCGCAAUGGGCGAAAGCCUGACGGAGCAACGCCGCGUGAGUGAUGAAGGUCUUCGGAUCGUAAAACUCUGUUAUUAGGGAAGAGCAUACGUGUAAGUAACUGUGCACGUCUUGACGGUACCUAAUCAGAAAGCCACGGCUAACUACGUG